CACUUCUCCAAUACAUGCCACAGGGGUUCACUUCCACUCAGGAGCGGGGGACACUCGCCUGCAGCCCUGGGAACUGAGCAGACCCACAGAGCCCCUGUGACAGAUGACCACUGGGUCGCUAGACAAAUUCCUCCUCUGUGCUCAUCCACGGAAGCCCAGCAGAGGAAAGCAGCCGAGCACCCGCUCUCCAGGGCUCCACCUGGACCCCACCAGGAGCUCUUCCCUCUUAUGUUUCCAACAAACACUUCGCCCUUAACCUCC